rnacentral:lncRNA from 1 species
CAAUCUGGAAAUCCUUGAUUUCUGCUUCUUUAUUCUCUCCCAUGUUUUGAGGCUGUUGCUGUUGGGGUUGGGGUGGCAGGCUCAACAAGUUGGCUACUUCCUCUGGAGGCUGCUUGGCGCCCUUGGGAUCCAUAAACAGGUAAAAAAUGGGUGGGGGGUGUGGGGGCAAAUUAAAAGAACAAAAAAAAAAAAAAAAAUAUAUAUAUAUAUAUAUAUAUAUAAAGAGGAGUCCUCUUUGAUUGAAGAAGGUGACCUGAAAAGUCCUAGACUUUGAUGAGUUUUCACUGUUCUCUGACAAGGAAUGUGAAGACAAACUAUGAUAAUUAUAAUAUUGAAAUCCCAAAGCCCACACACCCGAAAUGUCAAAAUUUUUAUUCUUGGUUUUCACAAGAUGUCAUUUUUCUUUCUUUUCUCUCUCCAUGGCUCAUGUAUGAAUGCAUGAGCCUUUCCUUUCUUCGUCACUUCCCCUUUUUCUCACUGCAGUGAAGGGGGCUUUUGACUAACAUUUCUGAUAUGAUAGCUACUUGAACUGCCAUUUUCACCUGAAGACACUAAUUCGCACAGAAUAUAUCAUUUACAAUAAUUAUUAUUAUAAAUUACAAUUUCAAAAUUAUAAAUAAGAUAUUCACGCAUCCCCAUAUAACCAUAUGUAAUAUCCAUAGAUUGAUGGAUUUCUUCCAUUUCUCUUCAUCACACCUUCACCCUACAUUAUAAUAAAAGCAAUAUAAUAAGGGUAAAUUUUUAUUUAUUUUAUAAAUAAUUUUAAAAUUUUAUAUUUAUUUUUUAAAAUAUUUAUUUUUGAAUGUUUCAUUAUAUUUUUACACGAUACUUGUCAAUCACUUGUUUAGUAACGAAGCUAGAACAAUUUUUUAGGGGCAAAAUAAUUUUAAUUUUUUAUAGUCUAUAUAUUUAUAAUUUUUAAAAAAUUAAAUCGAAUUUUUAUAAUUUUAGAGAGUAAAAGUGUAAUUUUACCUUUAUUAAUUUAAAAUUUUUUAAAAAAAUUAGAAGGCCUAAAUAAUAAUUUUCUAUUUUAAGAGGACGGGGCCUAUGCCAGCCCCGAGAUUCGCCUCUGCACCUAUUUGUGAAGUUUUAAAACUCAAUAGUAUAUUAAAUAAUUUUUUAUAUAAUAUGGAUAAUUAAUUUUAAUAAUAUCUAUGUGGUAUUAUAAAAUAAAUAAAAUAAAUAAUGAUUUAAUGAUAUCACGUUUACAUGGUUAAAACUAAUUAUCUAUGUAUUUAUUAUUAAUAUGAAUUUUAAAAUAUAAAUCAAUAUAAUAAUAUCAAUAAAAAGGAAUGUAAUAUUUUUUUUUUAUUUUAAUUUUUCUAUAACAAUUUAAACUUGAAUUAUUUAAAAUAUAAAUAUUAUAUUUUUAAAGAAAUAAAUAUUAUAUUUCAAUCAAAAUAAUGAUUAUGAUUUUUUUUUGGUAUAACUACAUGUGUUUUGAUUUAUUUUACAGUGAGAUUAAUCUUGAUCGGGCAAAGUGAUAUUCAAGUAAAGCCUUCUCAAGGAUAUCGACUCCAAAAUUCGAAUUUAGUCCACUUCUUCCAACCACUUAUUGAUUUUAUAAUUAUGUAAUUAAUUUGUUAUAAAAUAUUAUUAUUUACUUCUAUACUAUAUAUUAGUUGAGAAUUAAUUAUGACUUAGCA